rnacentral:rRNA from 1 species
UACGUAGGGGGCAAGCGUUGUCCGGAUUUAUUGGGCGUAAAGCGCGCGUAGGCGGCGCGGUAUGUCGUGCGUGAAAUCUCCCGGCUUAACUGGGAGGGGCCGUGCGAAACUGCCGGGCUUGAGGUCGGAAGGGGAAAGUGGAAUUCCGGGUGUAGUGGUGGAAUACGUAGAUAUCGGAAAGAACACCAACGGCGAAAGCACUCUGCUGGGCCGACACUGACACUGAGAGACGAAAGCUAGGGGAGCGAAUGGG